rnacentral:lncRNA from 1 species
CACACACAGAGCAGAUGGCUGUACUUGAAUAAUAAAAGUUUAUUCUUCAUUUGUGAAGAGAAGGGCAGGAAACUAAACACGUGCCAUCUGUAUGACCAGCCCCUCCCAUCAUGUUCCAAAUUCCUGGGCUCUGCACGUCAUGGUAACUACCACUGGUUGAUCACAUCAUAAUUUUCUGCUAAGUCUAUUUAAAAAGUUACUCCUAGUUUAUUUCUCUUGGAUGAUUAUUUAUUGUCAAUCAGUUAAUACUGGAACAUGAGCCAUAACCUACUUUGCAUUUGUCUUUAAAUCAGCUACAUUCUCUCUAAUCUCAAAGGUACUACCACCUUCAUUAUGUCUAUCCUUCUAUAAAAUCAAACCAAAUCAGAAGAAUCACUCCUUUAAUUAGAACCUAUAUAUUUUGUAUGUUCACAUUUAACUUAUUUUAUAAGGACAUAUAAAACUUAAUGUAUUUUGGAUAAAAUGUCAGUUUUAUCCAAGAAGACUCAAAGGCCUAGUAUUUUAAAAUGACUUUUACAUUUUUUUCAAAACAACUCAGCUGAAUAUUCCGUGAGGCAACACUGACAUCCAAACUCUUUACCUUGGCAUAAAUCUACCAUAGUACAUUGUCUUUCUUUAUAAUUUCAAAGAACAGACAAAAAUUUUGUAGUUUUAAAAGUUUAUUCUAUAGAAGACAAAGCAUUAUUGCUCACUAUCAAUUAUUUUAUCCCAAAAUUUUGUUGAUUAUUCAUUAUUUAUUGAAUUCACACUACAAGUAUAUAUAAAACAAGAACCUUUCAAGUAGCAUAACAUAAACUUGAAAUAGUGUUUACUGACACCUUAAAAUCAUUUCUCUCCAGGAAAUGAAGACACAACAUGCAGAGAAGAAGAGGGACUAAUUCUUAUUUAGAGCCAAAAAUAAUGAGACAAAUUGAGAGCAGAGGAGAAUGUAGUGAUUAGUAUUUCAAGAAUUCAUAGAUCCAGCAAGGCCCAUAUUGGGUAUUAAAAUAAAACAAAAUAAAUCACAUACAUGCACUCAUAGAAGCUAGUCUGUAUUGGUUUUCUGAUUUACCAGACAAAGUUCCCAGAUAAUCUGGAAAGCUUACUUAGAAAAUGAGACAGUUUUAAUGUGGAAGGAGUAGAUAUUUUCUUUAACAUAUAUUAGAAAGAAUGAGUUUAGUUUAGGAGGGGUUUAUUCUGUUUCUGGUCUUAAUCGUUCUUUUUGACUGCUACUG